rnacentral:rRNA from 1 species
GGAAUAUUGCGCAAUGGAGGCAACUCUGACGCAGCCAUGCCGCGUGCAGGAAGACGGCCCUACGGGUUGUAAACUGCUUUUAUCCGGGAAGAAACCCCUCCACGUGUGGUGGGUUGACGGUACCGGAGGAAUAAGCACCGGCUAACUUCGUCCCAGCCGCCGCGGUAAUACGAAGGGUGCAAGCGUUAUCCGGAUUCAUUGGGUUUAAAGGGUGCGUAGGCGGAACGUUAAGUCAGUGGUGAAAUCCUGCAGCUCAACUGUAGCAUUGCCAUUGAUACUGGCGUUCUUGAGUGCGCUUGAAGUAGGCGGAAUGUGCCGUGUAGCGGUGAAAUGCUUAGAUAUGGCACAGAACACCAAUUGCGAAGGCAGCUUACUAAGGCGAUACUGACGCUGGGGCACGAAAGCGUGGGGAUCAAAC